rnacentral:lncRNA from 1 species
UAUUUUGCUGUUGAUGUGUUUCGAGAGCCAGCACACAGUGUGCAUUUCCCGGUUGCUCCCAGCUUAUUUUGCCACAGACCUACAGAGACCAGACUUCAAGAUGUUCCUGUGGACAGGAAUUUACACAAAAAACCAGAUUAAAUUCUCCUGUGUUUUCUUUUGGAAAUGGGAUGGAAGUGAAAACAAAAUGUUGUUCUACCAUAUAUCAAGAUGAGGGCUGAUA